AAACUAUUUCUCACCCUCAUACAAAUUAUUUCAUUUCUGAAAACUUUCAGCAUCAGCACUAAAUCAAGACCUAAUUUGUAGCAUUUGCCAAUUUCUGUGGUAUAAAUACUCCCACGGCUGAUUUCAAGCUAACAACAUAAUAUCGCUGAAUAAGGAUUCGGGAAGAGAUAUACUAUAGUUCUCCAUGAUACAGUAUUUCCACCAUACAGGCUGUAGGCUGAAGAAGGCAGCAACCACGGCUUUCUUGUCAUUGAAGGUCAACAUCCAGCUCAGUGGCUGACACAUCUAAGAUGAGAAAAUGGAAGCUCAGGAAGCCUGCAAGCAAAAGAAGAAACAACAAAGAGAAAGAAAAACAUAGUGGUGGUGGUGGGAUACACACACAAAGCCAAAAACCUUCUAUCUUCAAUGAAAAACGUGAGUGGACGCAACCCCAAAACACAGACUCUGAA